rnacentral:rRNA from 1 species
CCUACGGGAGGCAGCAGUGAGGAAUAUUGGUCAAUGGACGAAAGUCUGAACCAGCCAUGCCGCGUGAAGGAUGACUGCUCUAUGGGUUGUAAACUGCUUUUAUAUGGGAGUAAAAUGUUCUACGUGUGUGAUUUUGUAUGUAUCAUACGAAUAAGGAUCGGCUAACUCCGUGCCAGCAGCCGCGGUAAUACGGAGGAUCCGAGCGUUAUCCGGAUUUAUUGGGUUUAAAGGGAGCGUAGGUGGGUUGUUAAGUUAGUUGUGAAAGUUUGCGGCUCAACCGUAAAAUUGCAGUUGAAACUGGCAGUCUAGAGUAUAGUAGAGGUAGGCGGAAUUCGUGGUGUAGCGGUGAAAUGCUUAGAGAUCACGCAGAACUCCGAUUGCGAAGGCAGCUCACUGGACUACAACUGACGCUGAGGCUCGAAAGUGUGGGUAUCAAACAGGAUUAGAUACCCCUGUAGUC